rnacentral:rRNA from 1 species
CCCAAUUGAUUGAUGGUGCUUGCACCUGAUUGAUUUUGCUUGCAACGAGUGGCGGACGGGUGAGUAACACGUAGGUAACCUGCCCAGAAGCGGGGGACAACAUUUGGAAACAGAUGCUAAUACCGCAUAACAGCGUUGUUCGCAUGAACAACGCUUAAAAGAUGGCUUCUCGCUAUCACUUCUGGAUGGACCUGCGGUGCAUUAGCUUGUUGGUGGGGUAACGGCCUACCAAGGCGAUGAUGCAUAGCCGAGUUGAGAGACUGAUCGGCCACAAUGGGACUGAGACACGGCCCAUACUCCUACGGGAGGCAGCAGUAGGGAAUCUUCCACAAUGGGCGCAAGCCUGAUGGAGCAACACCGCGUGAGUGAAGAAGGGUUUCGGCUCGUAAAGCUCUGUUGUUAAAGAAGAACACGUAUGAGAGUAACUGUUCAUACGUUGACGGUAUUUAACCAGAAAGUCACGGCUAACUACGUGCCAGCAGCCGCGGUAAUACGUAGGUGGCAAGCGUUAUCCGGAUUUAUUGGGCGUAAAGAGAGUGCAGGCGGUUUUCUAAGUCUGAUGUGAAAGCCUUCGGCUUAACCGGAGAAGUGCAUCGGAAACUGGAUAACUUGAGUGCAGAAGAGGGUAGUGGAACUCCAUGUGUAGCGGUGGAAUGCGUAGAUAUAUGGAAGAACACCAGUGGCGAAGGCGGCUACCUGGUCUGCAACUGACGCUGAGACUCGAAAGCAUGGGUAGCGAACAGGAUUAGAUACCCUGGUAGUCCAUGCCGUAAACGAUGAGUGCUAGGUGUUGG